GGCGAACGCUGGCGGCGUGCUUAACACAUGCAAGUCGAACGGAAAGGCCCUGCUUUUGUGGGGUGCUCGAGUGGCGAACGGGUGAGUAACACGUGAGUAACCUGCCCUUGACUUUGGGAUAACUUCAGGAAACUGGGGCUAAUACCGGAUAGGAGCUCCUGCUGCAUGGUGGGGGUUGGAAAGUUUCGGCGGUUGGGGAUGGACUCGCGGCUUAUCAGCUUGUUGGUGGGGUAGUGGCUUACCAAGGCUUUGACGGGUAGCCGGCCUGAGAGGGUGACCGGCCACAUCGGGACUGAGAUACGGCCCAGACUCCUACGGGAGGCAGCAGUGGGGAAUAUUGCACAAUGGGCGGAAGCCUGAUGCAGCAACGCCGCGUGCGGGAUGACGGCCUUCGGGUUGUAAACCGCUUUCGCCUGUGACGAAGAGUGAGUGACGGUAAGGGGUAAAGAAGCACCGGCUAACUACG
rnacentral:rRNA from 1 species